AACGAACGCUGGCGGCAUGCCUAACACAUGCAAGUCGAACGAGUGCCUUCGGGUGCUAGUGGCGCACGGGUGCGUAACGCGUGGGAAUCUGCCCUUAGGUUCGGAAUAACAGCUGGAAACGGCUGCUAAUACCGGAUGAUAUCGCGAGAUCAAAGAUUUAUCGCCUGAGGAUGAGCCCGCGUUGGAUUAGGUAGUUGGUGGGGUAAAGGCCUACCAAGCCGACGAUCCAUAGCUGGUCUGAGAGGAUGAUCAGCCACACUGGGACUGAGACACGGCCCAGACUCCUACGGGAGGCAGCAGUGGGGAAUAUUGGACAAUGGGCGCAAGCCUGAUCCAGCAAUGCCGCGUGAGUGAUGAAGGCCCUAGGGUUGUAAAGCUCUUUUACCCGGGAAGAUAAUGACUGUACCGGGAGAAUAAGCCCCGGCUAACUCCGUGCCAGCAGCCGCAGUAA
rnacentral:rRNA from 1 species